ACGGGGCCGCACAAGCGGUGGAGCAUGUGUUUAAUCGAAGCAACGCGAAGAACCUUACCAGGUCUUGACAUCCCUGACAACCCGAGAGAUCGGGCGUUCCCCUUCGGGGGACAGGGUGACAGGUGGUGCAUGGUUGUCGUCAGCUCGUGUCGUGAGAUGUUGGGUUAAGUCCCGCAACGAGCGCAACCCUCGACCUUAGUUGCCAGCAUUCAGUCGGGCACUCUAAGGUGACUGCCGGCUAGAAGUCGGAGGAAGGUGGGGAUGACGUCAAAUCAUCAUGCCCCUUAUGACCUGGGCUACACACGUGCUACAAUGGGCGGUACAAAGGGUCGCGAACCCGCGAGGGGGAGCCAAUCCCAAAAAGCCGCUCUCAGUUCGGAUUGCAGGCUGCAACUCGCCUGCAUGAAGCCGGAAUCGCUAGUAAUCGCGGAUCAGCAUGCCGCGGUGAAUACGUUCCCGGGCCUU
rnacentral:rRNA from 1 species